rnacentral:tRNA from 1 species
GCGCUGGUAGCUCAGCUGGAUAGAGUACUUGACUACGAAUCAAGGGGUCAGGGGUUCGAGUCCCUUCCAGCGCACCA